GUGGGGAAUAUUGGACAAUGGGCGCAAGCCUGAUCCAGCCAUGCCGCGUGAGUGAUGAAGGCCCUAGGGUUGUAAAGCUCUUUCACCGGUGAAGAUAAUGACGGUAACCGGAGAAGAAGCCCCGGCUAACUUCGUGCCAGCAGCCGCGGUAAUACGAAGGGGGCUAGCGUUGUUCGGAAUUACUGGGCGUAAAGCGCACGUAGGCGGACAUUUAAGUCAGGGGUGAAAUCCCGGGGCUCAACCCCGGAACUGCCUUUGAUACUGGGUGUCUGGAGUAUGGAAGAGGUAAGGGGAAUUCCGAGUGUAGAGGUGAAAUUCGUAGAUAUUCGGAGGAACACCAGUGGCGAAGGCGGCUUACUGGUCCAUUACUGACGCUGAGGUGCGAAAGCGUGGGGAGCAAACAGGAUUAGAAACCCUAGUAGUCC
rnacentral:rRNA from 1 species